rnacentral:rRNA from 1 species
AACGAACGCUGGCGGCAUGCCUAACACAUGCAAGUCGAACGAGACCUUCGGGUCUAGUGGCGCACGGGUGCGUAACGCGUGGGAACCUGCCCUUAGGUUCGGAAUAACUCCCCGAAAGGGGUGCUAAUACCGGAUAAUGUCUUCGGACCAAAGAUUUAUCGCCUUUGGAUGGGCCCGCGUUGGAUUAGCUAGUUGGUAGGGUAAAAGCCUACCAAGGCGACGAUCCAUAGCUGGUCUGAGAGGAUGAUCAGCCACACUGGGACUGAGACACGGCCCAGACUCCUACGGGAGGCAGCAGUGGGGAAUAUUGGACAAUGGGCGAAAGCCUGAUCCAGCAAUGCCGCGUGAGUGAUGAAGGCCUUAGGGUUGUAAAGCUCUUUUAGCCGGGAGGAUAAUGACAGUACCGGGAGAAUAAGCUCCGGCUAACUCCGUG